rnacentral:rRNA from 1 species
ACCUACGGGGGGCAGCAGUAGGGAAUCUUCCACAAUGGACGAAAGUCUGAUGGAGCAACGCCGCGUGAGUGAAGAAGGGUUUCGGCUCGUAAAGCUCUGUUGGUAGUGAAGAAAGAUAGAGGGAGUAACUGGCCUUUAUUUUACGGUAAUUACUUAGAAAGUCACGGCUAACUACGUGCCAGCCGCCGCGGUAAUACGUAUGUGGCAAGCGUUGUCCGGGUUUAUUGGGCGUAAAGCGAGUGCAGGCGGGUUCAUA